CAGUCGCCGCGGUAAUCCGUAGGUGGCAAGCGUUGUCCGGAAUUAUUGGGCGUAAAGGGCGCGCAGGCGGCUUCUUAAGUCUGUCUUAAAAGUGCGGGGCUUAACCCCGUGAUGGGAUGGAAACUGGGAAGCUCAGAGUAUCGGAGAGGAAAGCGGAAUUCCUAGUGUAGCGGUGAAAUGCGUAGAUAUUAGGAGGAACACCAGUGGCGAAAGCGGCUUUCUGGACGAAAACUGACGCUGAGGCGCGAAAGCCAGGGGAGCAAACAGGAUUAGAUACCCCCGUAGUCCCUGUCUCUUAUAC
rnacentral:rRNA from 1 species